rnacentral:tRNA from 1 species
GAGCGUGUUUGACUCUGUAAGUCUCUGAUUUCGUUGGGGUCAGCCGGUUUUGACAUGGUAGGGGUCACAGGUUCAAUCCCUGUUGCGCCCACCA